GAGUAGCUGCGAGUGUGCUCAGAAGCAAAAACAUGGGACUUUUGGAGAUCUCUGGAGUUGGGGGUACUGAGUUCCAGCCCCAAAAAGACCUCCCAGGGCAGUGUCAGGGGAGGAGCCUGGGGAGGGGAGGCAUCUGCGACUUUCUCUAUCUUUCCUCCUUAGUCAUCGUGACAGAAAAGACAAACAUCCUCCUGCGCUACCUGCAUCAGCAAUGGGACAAAAAGAACGCUGCCAAGAAGAGAGACCAGGAGCAAGUGGAGCUGGAAGGCGAGAGCUCCGCACCUCCCCGCAAGGUGGCGCGGACCGACAGCCCAGACAUGCACGAGGACACUUAAGACUCUCAACUCCACAGGCGCCUCCUGCCAGGUCUGCUCCUUGGUCGCCCACCCGCCUGCCCG
rnacentral:sRNA from 1 species